rnacentral:rRNA from 1 species
UACGGAGGGUGCAAGCGUUAUCCGGAUUCACUGGGUUUAAAGGGUGCGUAGGUGGGCAGGUAAGUCAGUGGUGAAAUCUCCGAGCUUAACUCGGAAACUGCCGUUGAUACUAUUUGUCUUGAAUAUUGUGGAGGUAAGCGGAAUAUGUCAUGUAGCGGUGAAAUGCUUAGAUAUGACAUAGAACACCAAUUGCGAAGGCAGCUUACUACACAACGAUUGACGCUGAGGCACGAAAGCUAGGGGAGCAAACAGG